GACGAACGCUGGCGGCGUGCUUAACACAUGCAAGUCGAACGGUAAGGCCCUUCGGGGUACACGAGUGGCGAACGGGUGAGUAACACGUGGGUAAUCUGCCCUGCACAUCGGGAUAAGCCUGGGAAACUGGGUCUAAUACCGAAUAGGACCACAGGACACAUGUCCUGUGGUGGAAAGCUUUUGCGGUGUGGGAUGGGCCCGCGGCCUAUCAGCUUGUUGGUGGGGUGAUGGCCUACCAAGGCGACGACGGGUAGCCGGCCUGAGAGGGUGUCCGGCCACACUGGGACUGAGAUACGGCCCAGACUCCUACGGGAGGCAGCAGUGGGGAAUAUUGCACAAUGGGCGAAAGACUGAUGCAGCGACGCCGCGUGGGGGAUGACGGCCUUCGGGUUGUAAACCUCUUUCACCAUCGACGAAGGUCCGGGUUUUCUCGGGCUGACGGUAGGUGGAGAAGAAGCACCGGCCAACUACGUG
rnacentral:rRNA from 1 species